rnacentral:rRNA from 1 species
GGAGAGUGCAAGCGUUAAUCGGAAUCACUGGGCGUAAAGCGCACGUAGGUUGAUAUUCAAGUCGGGAUGUGAAAGCCCUGGGCUUAACCUAGGAACUGCAUCCGAUACUGGGUAUCUAGAGUAUGGUAGAGGGAAGUGGAAUUUCCGGUGUAGCGGUGAAAUGCGUAGAUAUCGGAAGGAACACCAGUGGCGAAGGCGGCUUCCUGGACCAAUACUGACACUGAGGUGCGAAAGCGUGGGGAGCAAACAGGAUUAGAGACCCUGGUAGUCCACGCCGUCAACGAUGAGAACUAGACGUUGGGGGGUAUAUCCCUUUAGUGUCGAAGCUAACGCGUUAAGUUCUCCGCCUGGGGAGUACGGCCGCAAGGUUAA